rnacentral:lncRNA from 1 species
GAAUGGGGGCAACAUUUUGUGGGAUGUCUCUGUAUUUGCAGUUUCCUCUCAGGAACUGACACUUGAUCUGGGCAUAUGGAAUGCAUCAACUUGAAGAUAUGGCUACAUAAACGGAAGAAUGUGCAUAAGGAGAAUAUUUAAAAUAAUAACACACUUUUCAUAUUCAUGUCUCUUCAUUGAAAGAAGGUAGUCUUCCUUUGUGUCCCGAGGCACUCUGUGUGGGGAUCUGGAGCAGUUCUUAUUAAUAGCUAUUGCUCUAUGGGUAGAACUUCCAGACAUGCAAUCUCAUUAAGUAUUCUUGUUCAUCCUGCAAAGAAUGCGUUGCUAAUUCUAUUUUUCAGAGCAAUUGACUGAGGCCCAGAGAAAUGUCUAUUUAUUUGGUACUUUAUAGACUCAGGAGCCUGGGUGUAUGUUGUGUGACAAAACUUUCCCUGGGGAGAUGCCACACGUACAGCUACUCACCCCAGAUAGGGAACGUACAACAGACACAGUACGUGUACCACUAAAGCCUGUUUUCAGCCACCUUUCUAUCUUGUUCACCUUCAGGCCACAUAGUUUUAUUCUGUAGAGUCACUGCUGCAAAUGCCUAUCUGUGUGUGGCCUUUGUCGAGAGCCUUGGCUUCAGGCAGCACAAAGUCACCAGGAGUUCAUGAAGAUGGGAAUCCCUGCUCCUUUCUGUGAUAGCAGGCAGAUACUUGCUAGGCAGGCUAGGCCCCCUCUAGAGGAACUUUCAGCAGUGGGACAGGAGUUGGGCACUAGUUUGGCUGUGGUAAUUUUGGUGAUAUCUGUAAUUUAUAAAACAAAAUCAGACUUGUCCUUCCUCACCGAAGAAUCAAUGUAUGACAUUUGGGAAAUGCAAAACAACCAACCAACCAAACAAACAAACAAAGUGAAAGUGUGAACUCUCAGGUAUUCUGUCAGGGUUUUGCCAAGCUGCUGUGACACUGUCCCCAGGUACUAGUUACCCCAAGGACUUCCUGUUUGUCCAGCAUGAUGUUUGCCCCCGGUCAGAGCCAAUUACAUCGCUUAACGAGAGAGUCUGCAAUGUUGACUUUCAGUAGGCUCACUCUGAGCUCACUGAAUUUAUGGGUGCUGUCAGCAAGUGGUGUUGUGAACAGCAGAAAUGGUGCCUCCCUUGCCUCCAUGCUGGGGAAGAAGACGUGGAGGGGUAGUUUACCAUCAUCAUGGUUUGCCCUCAGUGAUGGGAGCCGUGAUUUAGCUGCAUGCAUGCAAGAGUUUUCCUCCUUUUAUGCCUGCCGAUGCUGGCCACCAAAGAUAACGUAGCACUAUGAUUAGUGUCUAGUGGGGAAGGUUAACCUUAGUCUGGAGCAGAUGGCUCUUUCCUCAGUAGGACUCUCUCUCUAUGGAGGUUCCUUUUCCUCUGUCACCUUCUUGACUUGCCACACUGCAGAGAAGAGGUUUCCGUGCUGGUCUGAGAAGGUGCGGGUGCUGUCAGCAGGGCCACCUUCUGGUUACUGUGGCCGUGGAGAGGCUUGGGUUCUCUACCUGCCUGUCCCCUUGCCUUUGGUGGGUCAUCAGAGGAAGGUGCGCUAUUUAAGGCAGCAGCUGAUCUGCUGAGUUGGUGAGAUGCUGCAGAUGUCCUUGCCCCUCGCUGCCCCUUAUUGGUGGAACAGAUGCGACAGCUCUGGGCACGGGACUGCUCUUCGCAUCCCUUCUGUUCUGGAAAGGUGAGGAAGAGCUGGAACGCUGCUGGACUGUGUUCAAGCAGCUCAGUUGCUCUGCUCCACGGCAGACACACUCAAGGGAGAAAGCUUUCAUGUCGACCGCCCCUCCCAGCCUGAGGGACAAUAUCAGGUUUCUAUCAGCCCAUUGAGGAGAAUUGUUCCACACUUAGUUUUUUGAGUGUCAGACAGGUAAAGAUAGCCGUGGCCUCACUGUCUAUCAGAGCUGAGAAUCCUUACGCUUUGGUAGGUCUUUUUGCAGGCAGUGGUUAGUUCAAGAAAAGCCGCCCGUCUAUCACAUCCAGACCCAUUCUUGGUCGCUCCCCUUCCCUGCUUAGAAACCAAGUGCUUCCUUAUUCUCUUUCUUUCCUCAUACCCCAGGCUUCACCGUGUGCUCUGCUCUGAGUGCACAGUAGUACCGCCCAAUGUGAUACUCUGUGUCUAUUUAGAUGGAGAUUAAUUGAAAUG